rnacentral:rRNA from 1 species
UGCGGAGGAUGCAAGCGUUAUCCGGAAUUAUUGGGCGUAAAGCGUCCGCAGGUGGCUAAUCAAGUCUGCGGUCAAAGACCGGGGCUUAACCCUGGAAAGGCGGUGGAAACUGAAUUGCUAGAGUGUCGUAGGGGUAGAGGGAAUUCCCGGUGUAGCGGUGAAAUGCGUAGAGCUCGGGAAGAACAUCGGUGGCGAAAGCGCUCUACUGGACGACAACUGACACUCAGGGACGAAAGCUAGGGGAGCGAAUGGG